GUCAUGCCAAUGGCAUUGCUCGGUAGCUACGUUCGGAACUGAUAACCGCUGAAAGCAUCUAAGCGGGAAACAGGCUUUAAGAUGAGUUCUCACUGGAGCUUUAAGCUCCCUAAAGGGUCGUUGGAGACUACAACGUUGAUAGGUCAGGUGUGUAAGGGCUGCGAAGUCUUGAGCUAACUGAUACUAAUUGCCCGUGAGGCUUAACCAUACAACACCCAAG
rnacentral:rRNA from 1 species